GCCUGUAGCCUGCAGGAGCCUGAGGAGAAGAGAGGAGCUAGCAGCCCCAGUCAAGUCUAGCGAAGUGCAUCUUGGCCUGCAGUGAUGGCUGUUUCCCCCAGAAAGUUCUUCCACUUCUGGAUCCCACCUCGACUGAACCUUACACAAUCUACUGCUGGACUUUCCAAUGGCAUGAGUUGGUCUCAACACGUGGCAGUAGGCAGCAGAAUUAAUUCCCUGUGCCUCCUGCAAUUCCCUGAGCCUCCCUUUCUCAAAACGCCAGCUUUCUCACAAGGAUAGCCUGAGACAUACGGAAGUGGGAAUGAUGUUCUGUUCUCAGGUGAAGUGUUUGUGCAUAUGUGUGUGUCGGGGGAGAGGAAGGUAAGCAAAACCAGUUGUUCUCAGAUGACUUGCAGCACCUGAGCAUGUCCUUUAUUUUAUCUUUUUUUUAAAAAAAAUACUUAAUAGCAUUUUCACUUCCUAGUUUCUCCAUUAUGUUGAAGUUGAAUAGUCUUUGGUAGGUCUUGUCUUACUUUUCAAGAACAUUAUGGGAAUUCUGCAAAAAGAUAGCUACAUGCAAAGCUAUCAUUUCUAUUGUUACAAAAAUAUGUGACACACUUACCUUAUGCUAUCAAAGAUGAAUGCUAUCCUCCACAUAUCCUUUAAAUGGGCUUCACAAGAAGAGGAUGGUCCCAUUUCUGAACAUUGCCUUGUCAAUGGAUGAGGAGGUUUGCACUCAGUCAAACUGGUUAAGCUAGAAUCAUAUUUCCCUAAAUCUCUUGUCCUGUUUAUUUCCAGGUGAUGAUUGGCCAAUAAAAUAAAUUUAGACGUGAUUUGGAUAGUAAAAAUGAAGCCACAGUCACUGAUCACUGAAGAUCAUUGUGGGUACAGGUGGGAGCUAAGAGCUAGCAAGGUAUCAGUGGGAUUUACAAGUCUUUUCUUUAUUCUUUAUCCUGCUCUUCUUGUCAAUUGCCAGAUUUCCUGACCAACAAAGGGCCCAGGCCGACUGCCACAAGUCUGAAUGCAGACCUGCAGAAGCAGCAGCAACUCAAAAGGACAGCAUUCCACAGACCUUCCCUGCACUGCCCUUCAUAGCCCACUCUGCAGCUGGACCUGCCUACUCGCCAUACACCCUGAAAGCUCCCACUUAUCCACCUAACCUCAACUUGCUCUAGUGUUCGAGGAGGGCUGAGUGGUGGUUUUCCUCGGGCCUUCCAACACUUGCCCUUCUCCCCCAAGUAUUACAAGCCCUCAUUCUAAAUAUAUCCCUGAUUUCAUAAUACUAAUAGAAGUGCUGCUUCUCUGAUUAAACCCUGACU
rnacentral:lncRNA from 10 species